rnacentral:lncRNA from 1 species
GGUGAGGACGGAGCGGCUGGGUGAGGAGGUGGAGCAGCCGGGCCGGGCGGAGAAGCUUGCGGGCUCCGCGCACCUCACCUCCGCCAAUCAGCACCGCGAAUCGACGGUGACGUCGCUCUCCCCGCCCCCUGGGGGGCCGCCUUUCUCCAGGAAGCCACGCCCAACUGCUGGCCGGCCGCCUCCCUCUCGGCGGCUUCCGUGCGGUCCUAAAGGCUGGUGCUCGGCAGGAGGAGGACGCGGGCUGGGGCCGUGGGGCGGCGUGAGGGUAGCCCGGGAGCGGUGAGGAGCGUGCGAGGCCCACGUGAGCGGAGGGACGCGGCCGCUCUCACCUUUCCUGAGGGCCCUGGCCCGGCUUUGGACUCCUGAUUCUCCUCUGCUUGCCAGCUGCCGCCCCGCCUCCGCCAGUGGUGCCCGGGCUGCCUGCGCGGCCGGAGUGAACGCGUCCCGGGAGCAGGGGUUUCUCCGAAGUGAGUGCGCCAGCCCCGGGACGAGCUCGUUCGAGUCCUCACCGCCCAGUGCACUUCCUGAAAGCCGGCGGUGGGCUGUCUCCCACCUUGUGAAACUUUGCCAGGUGUCGCUCACAGGGGACUGGGUCCGGACGCGGGUGGCGGCGCUGGUUUGCGGCCCCGGUUUGCGGCCCCGGCGCCGCGAUCCCGGGCCGCGCCCACGCCCAGGCUGGAGGCACCGUGCGCAGGUGGGGACGCGCGGCCGGGAGGUGCGCAGCGGGACCCGGCCGGCCGAGGGUACAAACCAGCUUGGCCACAGUGGGGCAGAGCACCAAGUAGACUCUUGGGGUUACUGAAUCCAGGUAUACGCUCUUGGACAGCACUUCUGGACCUGCUCUGGGACAGAGGGGAACACACUAUCCUGAAAGCUCUUCUGGAAGCAACUGAUCAGCUCCCCCUUUUUCUGCUAUGCCCUUAUUCCUCAUCGCUCAUAGACUGAAUCAUCGAAAUAAAAUGUUUUGAAAUAGAGCUGUUUGGAGAAAAGAAUAUCCAUUGCUAUCUCUUGAUAUCACUUUCCAAAACUCAGAAAAUGAAUAGUUUUGAAUGCCAAGGCAUGCUUCGAUAUGAAAUCUGUGGAUCUAGGUGACAGAAGACAUUUUUCAGAACUGACUAUAAUCAAGUCUUUCAUUUUGCAUUGAGUGGGCACACAGCAGACACCCGAUAAAUUGUUGAUGGAAUGAAAAGGAGGUGAGGGCUCUCUGUGCCCUCCAGAUCAGCAGGCAUUCAAUGUGGGAGGCAGGAAGGACCAUGGGAUGAGGCCCAGCAGCCCCUGCAGAGAGCCCUCUCUCCACCCGCCCCAGCCCCACGGAGAUCCUGGAGGAGGCAUGAGCAAGAGCAGGCCCAGCGUUGGUGGGUUGAUGGUUCUAGGGCGUUCCAACCAAUUUUCACACCCUGUCAACAAAAGUGGAAGAAGGGACUGUUGAAAACCACCAAGGAGCUGCUGGGUUCCUGUACCUCACGUCAGCCAAUUACAUUCUUUACUGGAAGCUCUCUUGGGCUCUGAUGCUGUAAGAACAGACUCUUGGAACCAACAUUUAUCCUUGAAUCAAAAACUCGUUGGAAACAUUACUGUGCUCUGCCAUUUGAAUCCGUAAUACGCCACCAAGGCCAGAGACUUUUUUUUCUUUAGUAUCUGUAACAACUCUUUGUUGAUGAUGUUAGUUUUGGUGUUUUGGUUUUGCCUGGAGCAGAUCCCAAUUUCUCCUUCGUAAACUUGAUGACUGGCACAGCACAGCAGGAGCCUUCUAAAUAGCUCAAGUGGCAUCAAUCUCAGCAGCCAGUGGCCACAUGCCACCUCGUCACCUUGGCUGGGGUCCUGUAGACAGCACGGUGGCUGGUGGCAUCUGUUUUGGCUGCUUCUCUGGGCUGUGCCUGAGCAGUGAAGAGACCAGUGUGGGUUUACCAGUGACCAGGAAGUCCUUGUUGAAAGAAAGAUGGGAACAAGUCUUAAAGAGAUAAUUAGCAUAUUCCCGGGGAAAUGACCCUUGACUGUUAGACACAGGCACUUGCAGUGAGCAGCUGCAAUGUUACUGUUCAGGCCACCCUGGUAAGGGAUCCCACAGGAUCAGGGGCCCAGCCAGUCUGGGUAGCCCCAGUGGCUUUGUCUCUGUGUCUUCUUUUGCCCUACUUUGUUGCAAAUUUAGCUAAAAUAUGUUUAUCCCUUGGGUCAUUGUGCAGUUUCAACUCCCUUUGCAAAAUAUUUCCCCAGGAGAAACUGGAGAGUAAUUUUUAAGUAUGAGUAAUGAAUUAGACUCCAGCCACAUUUUCUGGGGAACAGGCAGGUGAUUUUUUCUCUUUUCACACUGCAAAGAGAUCCUAGAACGCUGACAUCUGCAGGAUGCCAGCCUCACCUGCAUUCCUGACUGUUGGUUUGCUUCUUUAAUGUAGAAGCUUAGGGGGAAAAAGAAGGCUUAUUUAAAUGAUCUGAUGUUUCCUUUACCAAAGAUUUAAAAGAUGCACAGAGUUCAGAAAACUGUGGGAAACGAACCUUCCACUGCCAAGUUUCAGGAUGAAGAGAACACUCUGAGUGGUUUUCAAUUGUCUGCUACAAUAAAUGAUUAAUUUUCCCAUUAUAUUACAUUAGAGGGAUUAAAAAUGAUUCUGCCUUCCUUUUAUACCCAGUUUUAUGAGUCACUUGUAUGAUGGCGUGUCAGUAGUAAUAAAGAUGGACCAGACAGUUUAAAUAAACUGUGCUCCAGCAGAAGGCUCCUGGGUGAUGUGAGAUUCCCUUAACUCUUUCUCUUGAUUGAGGGUUUGGAUGGAAUCAGAGGCCAGGGUGGCAGGGCUGCAGGCAGCUGGGAGCCAGUUCCAAAGGCUGGCUCAAACUGGGUGGGGUUUGAUGAACUGCCCCUCACCAGCGUCUCCUGCAGGCUCACUGUGUUAGUUUCCCACAGCUACUGUAACAGGGAACGACACACUGGGUGACUUAGAGCAACAGAAAUGAAUUAUCAUGCAGCUUGGGAGGCCAUAGUCUGAGAUGAAGAUGUUGGCAGGGCCCUGCUGUCUCUGAAGGCAGCAGGGAAAGAUUGGUUGGAGGCUCUCGGCUAGAUUCUGGAGUUCCUGGGCUUGUGGCAGCAAAAUUCCAGUCUUCACAUGGCAUUCUCCCUGUGUGUGUAUGUCUCCAAAUUUCCCUUUUUGAUAACGACAUCAAUCAUAUUGGAUUAGGGGCCCAUAAUACUCCAGUAUAACCUCGUCUUAACUAAUCGUAUCUGCAACAACACUGUCUCCAAAUAAGUCCACAUUCUAAGGUACUGGAGAUUAGGAUGUCAACACAGGAAUGAUGGGGAGACGAACUUCAACCCAGACUGCGCACCCUGGUGAGUGUUGAAGCUUCACCCUCCAUUCAGAAGCUGCAGGUAAGUGACCAUGAGACUGCUUCUCCUCCCUGCUGCUCACCCCGGAGGAGGAGAAAAGCCAGCCUGUAGGGAGGCCCAGGCUUAGGUGAGGGACCCAUACUUAGUUUGCAUUUUCCUUACAGUUCUGCUCUGUUUCUGUUCCUCCUUCCUCAGAUUACAGAUGCUCCAAUUCACUAUCUAAAUCAUUAUUAUUAUUAUUAUUAUUUUUUGAGAUGGACUCUCACUCUGUCUCCCAGGCUGGAGUGCAGUGGCACAAUCUCGGCUCAAUGCAACCUCCAUCUCCCAGGUUCAAGCAAUUCUCCUGCCUCAGGCUCUUGAGUAGCUGGGAUUACAGGCAUGUGAAAAUGUGCAACCACACCUGGCUGAUUUUUGUAUUUUUAGUAGAGACGAGGUUUCGCCCUGUUGGCCAAGCUGGUCUUGAACUCCUGACGUCAAGUGAUCCGCC